AUCCAGCUGACGAGUCCAAAACAGGACGAAACACGCGUCAAACUGGAU
rnacentral:hammerhead_ribozyme from 1 species